rnacentral:rRNA from 1 species
AGAGUUUGAUCCUGGCUCAGAUUGAACGCUGGCGGCAUGCUUUACACAUGCAAGUCGAACGGCAGCAUAGGUGCUUGCACCUGAUGGCGAGUGGCGGACGGGUGAGUAAUGCAUCGGGACGUGUCCGGAAGAGGGGGAUAACUGUUCGAAAGAACAGCUAAUACCGCAUAAUAUCCGAGGAAGAAAGCUGGGGACCUUAGGGCCUGGCGCUUACGGGGCGACCGAUGUCUGAUUAGCUAGUUGGUGGGGUAAAAGCCUACCAAGGCGACGAUCAGUAGCUGGUCUGAGAGGACGACCAGCCACACUGGGACUGAGAAACGGCCCAGACUCCUACGGGAGGCAGCAGUGGGGAAUUUUGGACAAUGGGGGCAACCCUGAUCCAGCAAUGCCGCGUGUCUGAAGAAGGCCUUCGGGUUGUAAAGGACUUUUGUUGGGGAGCAAGGUGCACAGGUUAAGAGCUAGUGUACUUGAGAGUACCCAAAGAAUAAGGACCGGCUAACUACGUGCCAGCAGCCGCGGUGAUACGUAGGGUCCAAGCGUUAAUCGGAAUUACUGGGCGUAAAGAGUGCGCAGGCGGCUUUGUAAGCUUGAUGUGAAAUCCCCGGGCUCAACCUGGGAACUGCAUUGAGGACUGCAAGGCUAGAGUGUAGCAGAGGGGGGUAGAAUUCCACGUGUAGCAGUGAAAUGCGUAGAGAUGUGGAGGAGUACCGAUGGCGAAGGCAGCCCCCUGGGUUAACACUGACGCUCAUGCACGAAAGCGUGGGGAGCAAACAGGAUUAGAUACCCUGGUAGUCC